CAAUAGCGUAUAUUAAAGUUGUUGCAGUUAAAAAGCUCGUAGUUGGAUUUCUGGUCUGAUGCCCUGGCCCGCUUCAAUUUCGAAGUGAGUGCCGGCUGUGCGUCUACCAUCCUUCUAGAAAACGUUCCUACCCUUCACUGGGCCGGGUUCGCGAUCUAGAUCUUUUACUUUGAAAAAUUAGAGUGUUUAAAGCAGGCUUUUGCUAUGAAUACAUUAGCAUGGAAUAAUAAUCUAGGACUUCGGUUCUAUUUUGUUGGUUUCUAGUACUGAAGUAAUGAUUGAUAGGGAUAGUUGGGGGUGGCUAGUAUUGGGCGGCCAGAGGUGAAAUUCUUGGAUUCGCUCAAGACUAACUUAUGCGAAAGACAUUUGUCCAAGGAUGUUUUCUAUUAAUCAAGAACGAAAGUUAAGGGG
rnacentral:rRNA from 1 species